rnacentral:hammerhead_ribozyme from 1 species
AUCUAGCUGACGAGUCCCAAAUAGGACGAAACGCCCGUCAAACUGGAU